AGAAGCGACCACGCGAGUGUGAGCGAAUCUCAAAGAUAACGUCUCAGUUCGGAUUGUAGUCUGCAACUCGACUACAUGAAGCUGGAAUCGCUAGUAAUCGCGAAUCAGAAUGUCGCGGUGAAUACGUUCCCGGGUCUUGUACACACCGCCCGUCACACCAUGGGAGUCAGUAACGCCCGAAGCCGGUGACCCAACCAAACGGAGGGAGCCGUCGAAGGUGGGACCGAUAACUGGGGUGAAGUCGUAACAAGGUAGC
rnacentral:rRNA from 1 species